rnacentral:rRNA from 1 species
CCUACGGGUGGCAGCAGUCGAGAAUCAUUCACAAUGGGGGAAACCCUGAUGGUGCGACGCCGCGUGGGGGAAUGAAGGUCUUCGGAUUGUAAACCCCUGUCAUGUGGGAGCAAAUUAAAAAGAUAGUACCACAAGAGGAAGAGACGGCUAACUCUGUGCCAGCAGCCGCGGUAAUACUGAGGUCUCAAGCGUUGUUCGGAAUCACUGGGCGUAAGGCGUGCGUAGGCUGUUUCGUAAGUCGUGUGUGAAAGGCGCGGGCUCAACCCGCGGACGGCACAUGAUACUGCGAGACUAGAGUAAUGGAGGGGGAACCGGAAUUCUCGGUGUAGCAGUGAAAUGCGUAGAUAUCGAGAGGAACACUCGUGGCGAAGGCGGGUUCCUGGACAUUAACUGACGCUGAGGCACGAAGGCCAGGGGAGCGAAAGGGAUUAGAUACCCGGGUAGUC